rnacentral:rRNA from 1 species
AUUGAACGCUGGCGGCAUGCCUUACACAUGCAAGUCGAACGGUAACAGGUCUUCGGAUGCUGACGAGUGGCGAACGGGUGAGUAAUGCAUCGGAACGUGCCCAGUCGUGGGGGAUAACGCAGCGAAAGCUGCGCUAAUACCGCAUACGAUCUAUGGAUGAAAGCGGGGGACCGUAAGGCCUCGCGCGAUUGGAGCGGCCGAUGUCAGAUUAGGUAGUUGGUGGGGUAAAGGCCCACCAAGCCAACGAUCUGUAGCUGGUCUGAGAGGACGACCAGCCACACUGGGACUGAGACAAGGCCAAGACUCCUACGGGAGGCAGCAGUGGGGAAUUUCGGACAAUGGGCGCAAGCCUGAUCCAGCAAUGCCGCGUGCAGGAAGAAGGCCUUCGGGUUGUAAACUGCUUUUGUACGGAACGAAACGGCUCUCUCUAAUACAGAGGGCUAAUGACGGUACCGUAAGAAUAAGCACCGGCUAACUACGUGCCAGCAGCCGCGGUAAUAC